ACUGCUCAGUAACACGUGGACAACCUAACCUACAGAGGGGGAUAACCCCGGGAAACUGGGGAUAAUACCCCAUAGACUAUGGAUGCUGGAAUGCUUCGUAGUUGAAAGGUCCGCCGCUGUAGGAUGGGUCUGCGGCCGAUUAGGUUGUUGUUGGGGUAACGGCCCAACAAGCCUGUAAUCGGUACGGGUUGUGGGAGCAAGAGCCCGGAGAUGGAUUCUGAGACACGAAUCCAGGCCCUACGGGGCGCAGCAGGCGCGAAAACUUUGCAAUGCGGGAAACCGUGACAAGGGAACUCUGAGUGCCCGUAAAAUCGGGCUGUCCAUCGGUUUAAAUAACCGGUGAAGAAAGGGCCGGGCAAGACCGGUGCCAGCCGCCGCGGUAAUACCGGCGGCUCGAGUGGUGGCCACUAUUACUGGGCUUAAAGCGUUCGUAGCUGGUCUGUUAAGUCUCUGGGGAAAUCUUCCGGCUUAACCGGAAGGCGUCUCAGGGAUACUGGCAGACUAGGGACCGGGAGAGGUGAGAGGUACUCCAGGGGUAGGAGUGAAAUCCUGUAAUCCUUGGGGGACCACCUGUGGCGAAGGCGUCUCACCAGAACGGCUCCGACAGUGAGGGACGAAAGCUGGGGGAGCAAACCGGAUUAGAUACCCGGGUAGUCCCAGCUGUAAACGAUGCGCGUUAGGUGUAUCGGUGACCACGAGUCACCGAGGUGCCGAAGAGAAAUCGUGAAACGUGCCGCCUGGGAAGUACGGUCGCAAGGCUGAAACUUAAAGGAAUUGGCGGGGGAGCA
rnacentral:rRNA from 1 species